AUAAGGCGGCCUCAGCAUCCCGCCAGGGUACCACUGCUCAGGACGGAUGACGCUCCUUUCAUGUGGAUUACAUAUGAACGCGGUGUUGGCCCCUGUGCUCUGUGCAUCCAUGCACUGCCUCGAGCCCCAACACUGAGUGUUGUACUUCUCAUUAAAGGUGUAAUGACUGCCCCACAAUGCCGAUUCACCGGUGUCCUCACAUUCCACUUUGACGCUGUAUUGUUCUGGCUGAUAACACCCGAACUUGUUCUCCAUGGCUUCCCCGAAGUCUAUCGCUUCGUCAGGUGGCUUGUAAACUCGGCACGGUCGCUCUGUAGCCGUCUGACCGAAGUGUGCCAAGUUGCCUGGCGCGGAUAUGGCAUAAGAACAAGAGGCGGCACGCGCUCUGUCCAGUUGACCUGUCCCUUCUGAAGUUGUGUCAUCAGCCUCGCACACUAGUGUGAAGUUCUGCUCGUCCACAGAUGUCCGAGUGGAGAACCCCAAAUCUGACAACCCUUUUCAGCAAGAAACAUGCAGAAAAAAGACCAAAAACCUUUAAAAGGCUUUGUGUGACUAUCUUUACAGCGGGCUGGACUAAGAACGACGAAUCACAGACGACAAAAGGAAAACCAGCAGUAUGAGCAUCUCUCCGCGAUGAACUGAACAACUUCCAUGCACACUUUGAGAUAAACUCUCCGGCUUUUUGCAUACAGGCCAGUUAGAUCUACUGACAACUCCAUCUCCCUCGCCCUCACUGCCCUCUCCCACCUGGACCAGAGGAACACAUAUGUGAGAAUGCUGGUCAUCGGCUAUAGUUCAGCAUUCAACACCAUUGUGCCCUUUAAGUUUGUCACCAAGCUUAGAGACCUGAGGUUCAACACGUCUGUGAUUGAUCUGGCGGAGCUCUACACCCAGCAAUGUAAGAAGAAGGCCAACAGGAUUAUCAGACACAAAUCAUCCCAGCCAUUAACUGCUCUGCCUGCUGCUGUCCGGCAGACGGCACCGAAGCAUUCAGUAGCACAAUAACAUACAUUGCCACAGCAGUGACAUGUUUGGAAGUAUGGGGGUUUUCCCUGCUCGUGCUGUGUCCUUGAUGCUGUGAAUUAGUUUUGACACUGAUCAUGACAGUGGAUCUGAAGGUUGUUUUUCUCAUGAGGUUGAGUACUGAUGUUAACUUUUCUUUAAGGAUGGCCUUCACAGAGUUUUUUAUAUCUCCCUAAUCUGACCAUUCUACCCAUUGCCAGCUGGGAGAAGAUGACUCGUACGCACAUAGCCACAUACAAAUAUAGUCAGUACACAAAAUAUUAAUCAAUGCAUUCAUCUACCCAGCUCACAACAGCGUCACCAAGGCAGAUUGUUCAGGGCUGCUAUUGCAUUGUUUCUUAAAAUAUGCUGCCAUUUGUCCUGCAGCUCUCCCAUAAAAGGUGAAGGCUUCUCUUAGCUGGUGGAACCCUUCAAAUAGCUUGCAACACCAAGACUCCAUGUGGGGUAACUAUCAUACAACAGAAGUUGUUCUUGCCAUGGAAUAGCUUACAAAAUUUGGAGAAUAAGCUUAUUUGGCACUAUCUUGUCAAACAGUUUACAUAUUGUUGGUCAUGCCUGUCAAAGCAGCCCCGAGACUGCAGUUAAGAUGUUGCUGUUUGUGUUUUUGUCUUGUUGUCUUGUCUGUUGACAGCUACUGACUUCAAGCAAUACUAGAAUAACUACAGCGAACCUGCUGAAGCAAAGUGCUUCAGACAGUCAACUCUUUAAAACAGAGACAAGGGUUGCAAAAGGUACAUUUUCCAAGGGAAGCUAAGCUUGUGAAUUUUGGAACAAUUGCACAAUUCCAAUAGUUAAAGAUAAUUAUGUAAUAUGUCUGCAUUAAAAUAUCUAAACCUAC